rnacentral:rRNA from 1 species
UACGUAGGGUGCAAGCGUUGUCCGGAAUUAUUGGGCGUAAAGAGCUCGUAGGCGGUUUGUCGCGUCUGAUGUGAAAUCUGGAGGCUCAACCUCCAGCCUGCAGUGGGUACGGGCAGACUAGAGUGCGGUAGGGGAGAUUGGAACUCCUGGUGUAGCGGUGGAAUGCGCAGAUAUCAGGAAGAACACCGAUGGCGAAGGCAGAUCUCUGGGCCGUAACUGACGCUGAGGAGCGAAAGCAUGGGGAGCGAACAGG